AGAAAUCAACAUAACCCAAUUCCAAAAUAACCAUCCAGAACAUUCAAGACAGUUUCCAAACCCCCUUAUAUAAACCACAACAACAACCACCCUCCAUUCAUCAACAAAACAUCAGUUUCCGAUUACUUCAAUUCGUUUUCGCUCAAUCAAUCACUAAAACAAAUGUCGAUCAUUCCAAAUUUCUUCGGCCGCAGACGAACAAACGUCUUCGACCCCUUCUCUCUAGACGUGUGGGACCCAUUCGAAGGCUUCCCUUUCAACAACAACAACUUCGGAUCCUUAUCCGACCAAGUCCGAUCAUCAUCCGAAACAUCGUCGUUCGUGAACGCUAAUGUUGACUGGAGAGAGACUAAUGAUGCGCAUGUGUUUAAGGCGGAUGUACCCGGACUGAAGAAGGAGGAAGUGAAGGUAGAGGUGGAGGACGAUCGAGUGUUGCAGAUCAGUGGAGAGAGGAAUAAGGAGAGUGAAGAGAAAGGGGACACGUGGCACCGUGUGGAGAGGAGUAGUGGGAAGUUUGUGAGGAGGUUUAGGUUGCCAGAGAAUGCGAAGGUGGAUCAGGUGAAGGCUGCGAUGGAGAACGGUGUGUUGACGGUUACUGUGCCGAAAGUUGAAGUGAAGAAGCCUGAUGUGAAGUCCAUUCAGAUUUCUGGUUAGUUGGGGUAAUUGUUUGGUUUGAUGUCUGUCGUUUAGGGUUUUGUAAGUGGUGUCGUGUUCGUAUGUUGUUAUGUGAAGUGUUUUGUUAAAUAUGGAGAUAUGCGUAAAAACCCAUCCAGUCUGUUAAUUUUAUUGUUCUGUGUGAAUCUUGGAUUUGCAAUAUAAUAAAAAGUGUUCUGGGUUGCUUAUGUGAUGUUGAUGAGUUUAAUAUAUCGAUGAUGUUAUGUUGCAUUUUGUGAAUACCACGUACCUUUUGUCAAAGUAUCAACUUGAAUUGAAGAGCCUUAAAUCAGGUUAAGACCAAUUCAGUUUUGAACUAGAAUUUAACAACAAAGUUUUAUGAAGUUAAAAGUGACCUAACAAGACUAGAUGAUCCAAUUGAACUCAAGAGUUUAAGAUUAAGGUUCUCAAUUCUUCCAGGCCCCUGCCUCCAGAUAGACUCACUGGAGGAUAUUAAUCUGAUUCGAUUAGGGCUUUUUAGAGCAAAUUAAGGUGGUGUUUCAUUCAUCCUAAAUACUGAACACUCGCUAGAAGUAUAUAACCAAAUCUUAGGCUCUUAGCCAAAUUUAUAAUUCAGUUUGGUUUUAAUUCAUUCAUCCUAGAUAAUGAAUUUGUUGUUACAAUAGCCAAAGUUUGGAAGUAUAAACAAGAGAUUUGACACGAGCUUUAUGAUUCACCUGGGUUAUACAGAAACAAAUGUCAUUUUUUUACAUGGUUACAACAACAGAAGCUUUUGUAUUCAAUUUAUACUCUGUAAUUUUGUGACAAAGGAAAGUUUCAAUGAUUGUAAAAAUAAUAAAAGUUAAGGGCAAUACUGUCAUUUCCAAGUUGGCCGUUGGUGAGAUAUUUCUAAAUUGAGAAAGGUAUAUUCUCAAAUCUCUACCCAUACUCACAGGAUAACGUUUUCUUCAACCUCCCACAAAUUCACUUCAGUUCAGUUCAAUUCAUCCAUCAUCAUGCUCUCUUUAACUUUCAAUUCCACAAGACCCACCUCCAGUUUCCUCCAUACACCAUUCCUAUCUUCCCCACUUCCUCUUAACUCCCACCACAAAACCAUCAAACUCCAUCGGAAACCCAUCUCUGCCGCCCUUAUCCCCGCAAAUCCAAAACCUCCAGGUAAACUAUACCAACCCUUUCGCCCACCGCCAUCGCAAUCACCAAUACCACCCCAAUUCCGGGACCUCGACACAACCGCCCGCCUCGAUGUCCUUACCAAUCGCCUUGGCAUGUGGUACGAGUACGCCCCUCUCAUCCCUCCUCUAUUUCAAGAAGGUUUCGACCCAUCAACUCUCGAAGAAAUCACUGGCAUCGCCGGUGCCGAGCAGAACCGACUCGUGGUAGGAGCUCAGGUUAGAGAGUCCUUGGUUCAAUCGGGUCUUGAUGCCGAAACCCUCCACUAUUACGAAAAUGAUGGUGCCGGAUUGUUGUACGAGAUUAGGCUGCUGACUGUUAGCCAGCGUGCUGCCACUGCAAGGUACAUGGCCGAAAAUAAGUUUGAUGUAGGUGAUGCAAACGAACUCGCGAGAGCUAUCAAGGAUUUCCCACGCAGACGUGGCGAUCGCGGGUGGGAUUCCUUCGAUUAUACACUCCCAGCCGAUUGUUUGGCGUUUAUGUACUAUAGGCAAGCGCUUGAAAACCGGGAUGCAGAGAUGAAAACAUCUGCAUUGGAAAAGGCUUUGUCCGUGGCUGUUUCCGAACCAGCAAAAACAUGGAUUACAAAGGAGUUGGAAGGAAAUGAUGUGGACGCCGAAGGUGGAAACGGAAGCGUUGUUGAUGGGGUGAAAGUUCCGGUAGUGAGAUUAAAUUUAGGUGAGAUUGCAGAGGCGACAGUGGUGGCGGUGUUACCAGUUUGUGGUGCGGGUGAUAGGGGUAAAGAGGUGGAGGAGGCACCGUGGGAGUACGGGAGUAAAGGGGAUUUUGGUAUCGUGGAGGGUGACAAGGAUUGGAAGAGAUGGGUGGUGUUGCCCGCGUGGGAGCCCGUGGUGAAGGUGAAGAAAGGCGGAGUGGUGGUGGCGUUUUCCGAUGCACGGGCUUUGCCGUGGAGGGUUAAUAGGUGGUAUAAGGAGGAGCCUAUUUUGGUUGUGGUGGAUAGAAGGCAGCAAGAGGUGGUUUCCGAUGAUGGAUUCUAUUUGGUGUUGAGCGAAGACGAGUUGAAGGUUGAGAGAGGAUCGGCAUUGAAGGAGAAAGCUCUUAAAGAGAGUCUCGAGAGCGUAUCGCAAUGGAAGGAUAAAGGUCGUAAAGAGAGUCUUGGAAGUGUAGUUAUAGUUGUUAGACCGCCGAAAGAAGAUACUGAGAAUGAAUUUGCUGAAGAGGAUUGGGAAUGAUAAACAAAUUUGAGUUGUAGAACACUGAUUUUCAUGUUUAUAUAUUCUUUGUAACUUGAAGAGGGUAAAGGUGGAAAGAGAUGAGCAAGAAUAAAAGCUUUUCUAGUUU